GGGAACGUCACUGCGGGACAUUUGGGCACGUACCAGUGCGUGGCCACCAACCAGCUGGGACAGGACGGGCACCGCGUGUUCCGGGCACUCAGCCCUGAGCUGGCCCUGGAGGUGACAUCAUGGGGACACUGGGGUACAGCAGUGGCCGUGAAUGGUGGCAGGACCCUCCUGUUCCUGGUCCUUCUCGUGGCUGUCAUCGGGGGCUGUCACUGGUGGCAUCACCUGGCUGCCAAGAAAUCCCAGGCAGGUGAGUUGGAGGCUCCAG